rnacentral:rRNA from 1 species
UGGGGGAUAUUGCACAAUGGGCGAAAGCCUGAUGCAGCGACGCCGCGUGGGGGAUGAAGGCCUUCGGGUUGUAAACUUCUUUUGCUCUGAACAAGGCAUGCUAAUGGGUGUGUUGAGUGUAGGGGUUGAUUAGCGCCGGCUAACUACGUGCCAGCAGCCGCGGUAAUACGUAGGGCGCGAGCGUUGUCCGGAAUUAUUGGGCGUAAAGGGCUUGUAGGUGGCUGGUUGCGUCUGUCGUGAAAGCUCAUGGCUUAACUGUGGGUUUGCGGUGGGUACGGGCUGGCUUGAGUGCAGUAGGGGAGGCUGGAAUUCCUGGUGUAGCGGUUGAAUGCGCAGAUAUCAGGAGGAAUACCGGUGGCGAAGGCGGGUCUCUGGGCUGUUACUGACACUGAGGAGCGAAAGCAUGGGGAGCGAACAGG